CCAAUCAUGACAAUACGUAGAGGAAGGCCACGGGUAAAGAGCCCCCACAAUCCUAGCUUCUUGAUUGCAUCACCCGCAGUUGCUCCCUUGGCAUUAUUGAGGAAAGACACCAAGUUGUCAGCGGGAUGCGAGACAAUAGCACAGAAAACACCAGCAAUGUAUCCACCAGCAAAGCUGAUUCCAAGCUGCAAACUUUUACUGCACUGCUCUUUUGGUGUUGGAAUAGCAUGCUUGUAUAGCAACUCAACUAUGGUCUCAAAGGAUGCAAA
rnacentral:misc_RNA from 1 species